rnacentral:lncRNA from 1 species
AUGGCUGAUGCUGCCAGUCUCUCGUCCUGCUGGGACCCGUGACAGCUGAGCCUCUUCGCUCUCUUAGCCACACCUUCUGAGGCCUCUCUUCUGCAAGCCCAGUGCGCACAGGGGCCUAAACCAGGCUAUUUGGUAUCUUUCCUGUUAGCCCAUGCAGGACUCCCAAGUGUAUUUUGUCCAGCACCUUGUAGGUUAUUAUCACUUUCUCUUCUUUCUCCUGGACUACUUAAGUACCUCCUAACUGGUUUGUUUGCUCCUCUUCUAGAAGGCUCACCACAUGGAGGCCAGUGUGUGCUGGUUAUCAAUUUAUGGCCUCUCAGCUUCAAGUCCCCUGUGCAUUGCCUGCUUUGCUGUGUCCUUCUGCUAUUUUUCCUUUGUUGGCUGGCAGGAUGCUAAGCGGUCGGUAGAGGGCACUGGAGAGACACUGGAGGAGGAGGAAGUUUUCCUCAGUUGGAGAGUCCUGACCUCUGCACGUUGCUGCUGUGUGCAUUGCUGCUCUGGCCCCAGGUUCCUGAGUGUAGUGCACUGGCCCACAGCACCCAACAGCCAGAAACUUCUCCUGGUGUCCUCUUUGGGCAGUUUCAUAGGGGAGUGCCUCCAGAGAGUUCCUGACCUUUGAACAGCUUCCUCUGGUCCCUAUGCAGCUCCGCAGCUUCUCUGCCAUCUAGGCCCCACUGAGGUUUCCUCUCCAACGAGGUCUGGGGAGUGGCUGAUCAUUGUAGAAUUUUUUAGAAUUCUGUUUAUGUGUUACAGGCCAGUCUCUCGUUACUUCAACUUCCUGUUAAACCGUUAUUUAUUUAUUUAUUUAUUUUGCUUUUUAGGGUGGCAUGUGGAGGUUCCCAGGCUGGGGUAAAUUGGAGCUACAGCUGCCAGCCUACACCACAGCCACAGCAAUGCAGGAUCCAAGCCAUGUCUGCGACCUACAUCACAGCUUAUGGCAGUGCCGGAUCCUUAACCGAUUGAGUGAGGCCAGGGAUCAAACCUGCAACCUCAUGGUUACUAGUCGGAUUCGUUUCCCACUGCACCACAAUGGGAACUCCCUUUAGUAAUUCUUGAUAGUAAACUUUCCCUGUUCAAAUUGCUGUAAAAUUUCUGUCUCUGGAUUGGACCCAGACUAAUAUCUAGUGCAAUAUUUGUGAAAUGUAACUCUGAUUUUGUCAUGCUUCUUUGUUUAAAAUCAUUUUAUGAUUUGACUCUGCUUAGAGAAUCAAGAAAACCCUCUGAUAUGCAUGGUUUCUGAGGCCCUGCCUAAGCUGGCCCCUCUUUACCUCCCUGGUCUUAUCUUGGACCAGAGUACCCCUUGCUUUCCUCCUGCUGCAGAGUUUUUACAGGCACUCUUUCCUUUAUCUGAAAUCAUCUUCCCUCACUUUUUCACCCAGUAAAUCCUUAUUUUCAAGCCUCAAGUUUUUUUUAUUUUAUUUUUUAAGGCCACACCUGUGGUGUAUGGAAAUUCCCAGGCCAGGAGUCAAAUCAGAGCUGCACCUGUGCCACAGCCACAGCAACACUGGAUACAAGCUACAUCUGUGAACUACACUGCAGCUUGUGGCAAUGCUGGAUCCUAAACCCACUGAGCGAGGCCAGCAAUUGAAGCUACAUCCUCAUGGAUACUAAUUGGGUUCUUAACCCACUGGGCCGUGAUGGGAACUCGAGCCUCAGUUUAAUCAUCUCAUCCUCAGGGAAACUUUUUCCACUUUUCCUGCCUUGGUGAAGUUCUUUUAUUUACUUCCAGAGCACUUAUGUAAAGCUCCUUCAGACCAUUUUUUUAAGGGUUGUAAUUUUACCUGCAUUUGUGUGAUUUUGAAAAUUAAUAUCUGUCUCCUCUCUUAUAGAUUGCAAGCUUCUUGAGGGCAAGGGACUGAGGGGUUUUUGGCUCCCUCUAUAGCCUCAUAUCUAGCACAUGUUCUAGAGUGACCAUUAUGAAGCAGGCAGGCAUGCCACCAACUUGUACUCAUCUUUUUUUUUUUUUUAAUUGAAGUAUAUGAAGUAACUAAUGUGUUAGUUUCUAGUGUACAGCAAAGUGGUGAUUCAGUUAUAUGUGUAUACAUAUAUAUGUAUGUGCAUGUAUACAUAUAUGUUCUUUUUCAGAUUCUUUUCCAGAACCUGAGCUAAAGGAAACUAUAUACAGUAUCUUGUUGCCCUUGUCUUGGUCCAAGUUUUUCCCUUUCAUACUCUGGUUUGCCACACGAUGGCAGCCUAAGAAACUCUGGCACUAGAUAUCCUGUGAGAAAGACAUGGGGCUUCAGGUUAAAAAGCCUUUUUCUCUGAGCCAGAAGAGGAUCCUUUUGAGGUGAGAUUAAAUCACAUAUUACAGAAAAUUUCUAUGAAAAUGUCCUCCAUAUCCUCACUUCUUCACUGACUCUGAGGCACAAUCUGGAAUACUAAUAAGCAAGACAGAAGGGGGAGUUUCAUCCACUUCUCUGAGGGGCUACUGCACUAUUUAGAAAACAGUUCUAGGGAGAACACAAGAACCCUAAGCUCUGAUUCAUGGAAUCAGGGACAUGGUGGAAAAUAGGGAUGGGGUGGGGACAGCUGGGUAUUUAUCGCUCUCCCCUCCUUAUGCUUAGGCAUAAACAUUUUGACAAGCCUUUUUUUGUUGAAAAAACUCUGUAAUUAUACUAUUGAAGGAUACUUAAAAAAAAAGUGGAAUCAUGAUUCUCAUACAAAUAUAAAAUGAAAUGUGUAUCAAGAUUUUAUUUAACUCAUUAGUUAAUGAGAAAAUCAGUAAGAUAUUACAAUGGUUCAAAGGAAAAUUCAAAGAACCACACAUUAUCUAGGCAAAUAAGGAAUGAAUUUACAAACAGAUGAAAAAAAUGUCUAUUCGUGAGGCAGUGAUUAUAUGCAGCUAGACACAAUUUACACUUUUAUGGGCAGGGAUAAUUUACAUUUUCUCCCAUUUUCUAUACCUUAUACAGAGUUGUAAAAUAGCUCAUUCACAGUGAAAGGUUGAUAUAACUUGGAAGGGUACUCAAUUUUCAAGAAUAUGCCAAAGUUAAGAGAAAAGUGUAAUGAAUGCUUAUGUCUCACCACCAGCCUUAACAGCCAUUAAUCUUUUUGUUAGUAACAUUUCAUUGAUUUUAUCCCUUUUCUGGAGUAUUGUAAAGCAAAUCCUAGAUACGAUACCACAGCUCUGGUCCACAGCUCUAAUUGAUAAAGACUUUAAAAUAUAUAUCUAUUAUAUUUAUGUAACAUAUAUGUUAUAUUUAUAUACCACAUGGCACUAUCACACCUAAAAAAAAAUCCCCAUAUCAUCUAAUUCACAGUCCUUAUUCAAAUUUCCCUACUUGUCUUAAAAAUGUCUAUUUAUUUACAAGUAUUGGUCAAAUGAGGACCAGAUAAGCUUAUACGGGUAGGAGAGUCCUUCUUUUUUUCCUUUUUCUCCUAUUCCAGCUUCUCCUCCUUCCUCACUUUCUCUUUUUUUCUUUUUGGGCCACCCUGCAGCAUACAGAGUUCCUGGGCCAGGAAUCAGAUUUGAGCCUCAUUUGCUGCCUACACUGCAGCUGUGGCAACACCAAAUCCUUUAACCUACUGUGUGGAUGAGGGAUUGAACCUGUGUCUUGAUGCUACAGAGAUACUGCCUAUCCUCUUGUGCCACAGCAGGAACUCCCUUUGCUUUCUCUUUUGAAAUACAACUUUUACCAUUUAUUUAGAAGUCUGCACACAGGAAAAAGUGAAGGGAGCCACCAUAGUCAAAACCUAGUUGUCUUAAAUCAUGAGUUUUCCAGGUUACCUUUAAUUCAUGAUCCCUGCCACCUCCAUCCUUUCCAGAAGUUGUUUUAGGAUUCACUGAGGAGGGAAUCUUUGUACUCAUAAGAAUGAUUAUAUAGCAUACAUUCAAAAAAUGCUUUUAGCUGACUGUGAAAAUGGGGAAAAAAUGACAAACAGGAUGAAGUAUAUAUUUGAAUGGAAUACAAAUAUACCUUUUGAAAAAUAAGGGAAGUCAUAGUAAACAAGAUUAAAUAUACAUCAAAGGAAAUUCAGACAUAUAUUUGAAAAGAAGUCACAAUAUUCCUAUGGUUUAUAAUUUUUAAGAUAAGAGCUUUAAAACUCUUUCACUUAUGGCCAUACUGAUUAUCUCCUCAUUUUUUCCCUGUAAGAUCCACUCUGCAUACUAAUAGUUAUAUAUUUGUUGGGCUAUAAUUACAGUCAGAGACACUUCAGGAGGUUAUGAUGCUUUAACUGUUCUCCCACAUUGAUUCUGAUCACUGCUUUCUGCCAUUUCUACCUCACAGCCAAAGUGAUUUUUUUCUUUUUAGGGUAAGUGAUCUAAUCACUUCUCAUUAGUGGUUUCCCAUUGAAGAAUAAAACCAACAUUUUUUAGCUUGGCUUUUAAGGUCUUGGAUGGUCUAUUCCCUGCCUGUUUCCCAUACUUUAUUUUGGACCAUUCUCCUUUUCGUUCUUUUGCUUCAGGCACAAUGUUCUCUCAGUUUCUACACAAUGUCAUGAUCCCUCCUGCUACAAGCCUUUGCCCAGGCCAUAUUUUCUGAGCAGAAUACUCUCUCCAUCACCUUCCGUCUGAGUUGGGUAUCUUGUUUUGGUAAGAGAAACAUGUUCUUGCCAAUCCCAGUUUGUGGUUGUUAAUUCAUUAAUGUGACAUUUGGUUACAUCUCUAUUCCCCGUUAAAGUUGUGCAUUAUACUACUUCUAUGAAUGGUGGCCUUUCCCUGCUAGAACACAAACUUCCAGAAAGUCAGGACAGUGUCUUUAUUCAUGUACCGCUUUAUACCCAGUACAUAGAAGAACUCAAUAUACAUUCGCUGAUUGAAUAAAUGAAUAGCU